UACGUAGGGUGCAAGCGUUGAUCGGAAUUACUGGGCGUAAAGCGUACGCAGGCGGCUUUGCAAGACAGGUGUGAAAUCCCCGGGCCUAACCUGGGAACUGCAUUUGUGACUGCAUGGCUAGAGUUUGUCAGAGGGGGGUGGAAUUCCACGUGUAGCAGUGAAAUGCGUAGAUAUGUGGAGGAACACCGAUGGCGAAGGCAGCCCCCUGGGAUGUGACUGACGCUCAUGUACGAAAGCGUGGGGAGCAAACAGG
rnacentral:rRNA from 1 species